UGUCUGGUAUACACACACUGAGCGCCUGC
rnacentral:piRNA from 1 species